rnacentral:antisense_RNA from 1 species
UCACUCACAUCUGUGUUCAGUCACCGUUAUUUCGAAGUGCCUACCCAGGUGGGAGCGCACAUGCUUGCAAUUCUAACAUUGAGGUGUUGAGUGACAUCUGAUCCGAUACGAGAGACUGAGGUUGCGGGUUCCCGAGGUCGAUGUGAAUCAUUGAAAUCUCACCUUAUCUUGUGGGUCCUGGAGUUCAAUCUCAGAUCAUCAGGCUGGGCAGCAAGUGCCUUCACCCUCCGAGCCAUCUUGCCAUCCCACAGCUGAGCGUCUAAUAUGACAUUGCCGAUGAAAAUAGUCAUCACAACAGCAGUUCUUCAGCAUUACGCUCCGUUCUGGCCACCUCUCUGGCUUCUUCCAUCACUUGCUCGCCGAAGCUGCCUGCCAGGAGUGGGUACCCGUCCAACACAAACUACUGCAGGACUCAAGAAGCGGAGAUAGUCCGGAAAGCGAGGCAGGCA